CCUACGGGAGGCAGCAGUGUGGGAUAUUGCACAAUGGGGGAAACCCUGAUGCAGCGACGCCGCGUGGGUGAAGAAGCGCCUCGGCGCGUAAAGCCCUGUCAGCAGGGAAGAAAAUGACGGUAACUGAAGAAGAAGCCCCGGCUAACUACGUGCCAGCAGCCGCGGUAAUACGUAGGGGGCAAGCGUUAUCCGGAUUUACUGGGGGUAAAGGGGGCGCAGACGGCGAUGCAAGCCAGGAGUGAAAGCCCGGGGCCCAACCCCGGGACUGCUCUUGGAACUGGGUGGCUAGAGUGCAGGAGGGGAAGGUGGAAUUCCUGGUGUAGCGGUGAAAUGCGUAGAUAUCAGGAGGAACACCGGUGGCGAAGGCGGCCUGCUGGACUGCAACUGACGUUGAGGCCCGAAAGCGUGGGGAGCAAACAGGAUUAGAUACCCUUGUAGUC
rnacentral:rRNA from 1 species